UCAAACUUAGCUGGUGAAUUUUAGGGCAAAUUUUAUCAAGUAUUUCAUUUGUGCAUUUCUUUUCUAAACGCUACUCUGCUCUCACUCAGGAAACAUCUUAACCCUAUUUUUCAAGCAUUUCAUCUUCCAGUUAUGUCUGUGUAGAUUCAAUCAUUGAAUCAAUCUAUGUAGAUUCGAUCUCUCUGAAAUUCCUUAUUUGUUCAUCUCAAUUAUCACAUCAAAACUUCACAAAUCGAUUAUAUAACUUUUAGUUUACACUUGAUUUCGUUAUCCAUCGAUUGGUGUAUAGUUCAUCUAUCUCAAACCUGAAGUUUGGGUAUUUGAAGAAGGAAAAGCAAGCAAGCACAUCUGAUUUCGAUUUUUUAGAGGUUUUGAAAGAAGUACACCUGAUCAGCAAUCUCUCAUAUUGCCAUAGAUACAGAUGAGACGGCUUCGAGCAAAUCUUGGCGUUAUUUCAAGAGCAGAUGGUGUAAAAUUGCGGGAACGACAAAUAUGACAGGGGCGGGAGAAAGGAUUGAUUAGCAUUUACAUAGUUGAACAUGCUGAGUUGCUGACUUAAAGUGCUAAGCAUUCCAGAAGUUUUACACCCUAUACACCAGUCGUCAACAUUACUUGCUCAAAGAACAACACUCGCAGUAUGACUCCUUUUAUGUAAGUUGAAAAGUUUUAUAAAAAAGUGGAUGAACAAGAUAACAAUGCGAGAUUUUAUGAACCAGUGUAUCGGCUAGUAGCAACCGAAUGAGAUAAUAACAAAAACAACAAUUAGUGAGUUACCUCAAGUGGAAAUCGGUGAGAGUUCAAAGCGUACUGCCGUCUAUAAUCACGCGUCGUGCCACCAGACUUCUUCGCAGCGAACAAGCAGGUUAACGAAGAGUGAAGGGGAGGUGAGAAGGAACUGUGUGUGAGGGUUUUUGU
rnacentral:lncRNA from 1 species